UACGUAGGGUGCGAGCGUUGUCCGGAAUUAUUGGGCGUAAAGGGCUCGUAGGCGGUUUGUCGCGUCGGGAGUGAAAACUCAGGGCUUAACCCUGAGCCUGCUUCCGAUACGGGGCAGACUAGAGGUAUGCAGGGGGAGAACGGAAUUCCUGGUGUAGCGGUGAAAUGCGCAGAUAUCAGGAGGAACACCGGUGGCGAAGGCGGUUCUCUGGGCAUUACCUGACGCUGAGGAGCGAAAGUGUGGGGAGCGAACAGG
rnacentral:rRNA from 1 species